rnacentral:rRNA from 1 species
UUUCAGCCUUGCGACCGUACUCCCCAGGCGGCGAGCUUAACGGCUUCCCUGCGACACUUCGAUCGCGAACUGCGAUCGAAUCAUCUAGCUCGCAUCGUUUACGGCUGGGACUACCCGGGUAUCUAAUCCGGUUCGCUCCCCCAGCUUUCACCCCUCACCGUCGAGCGCGUUCUGGCGGACCGCCUUCGCCAUUCACCAAGUUCGUGGAUUACCGCGAACUAUCUGGUGGUCUUCCGCGGAUCAGAGGAUUUUACCCCUACACGCGGAGU